ACCCGGGGAAUUUUUGGCAUUCUUGGGGCCGUAAGCGAUCGCAGGCGGUUGCUUAGGUCUGAUGUGAAAGCCUUCGGCUUAACCGAAGAAGUGCAUCGGAAACCGGGCGACUUGAGUGCAGAACAGGACAGUGGAACUCCAUGUGUAGCGGUGGAAUGCGUAGAUAUAUGGAAGAACACCAGUGGCGAAGGCGGCUGUCUGGUCUGCAACUGACGCUGAGGCUCGAAAGCAUGGGUAGCGAACAGGAUUAGAUACCCUGGUAGUCCAUGCCGUAAACGAUGAGUGCUAGGUGUUGGAGGGUUUCCGCCCUUCAGUGCCGGAGCUAACGCAUUAAGCACUCCGCCUGGGGAGUACGACCGCAAGGUUGAAACUCAAAGGAAUUGACGGGGGCCCGCACAAGCGGUGGAGCAUGUGGUUUAAUUCGAAGCUACGCGAAGAACCUUACCAGGUCUUGACAUCUUGCGCUAACCUUAGAGAUAAGGCGUUCCCUUCGGGGACGCAAUGACAGGUGGUGCAUGGUCGUCGUCAGCUCGUGUCGUGAGAUGAUGGGUUAAGUCCCGCAACGAGCGCAACCCUUGUUACUAGUUGCCAGCAUUAAGUUGGGCACUCUAGUGAGACUGCCGGUGACAAACCGGAGGAAGGUGGGGACGACGUCAGAUCAUCAUGCCCCUUAUGACCUGGGCUACACACGUGCUACAAUGGACGGUACAACGAGUCGCAAGCUCGCGAGAGUAAGCUAAUCUCUUAAAGCCGUUCUCAGUUCGGACUGUAGGCUGCAACUCGCCUACACGAAGUCGGAAUCGCUAGUAAUCGCGGAUCAGCAUGCCGCGGUGAAUACGUUCCCGGGCCUUGUACACACCGCCCGUCACAACCAUGGGAGUUUGUAACGCCCAAUAUUCCAGUCCGCCUAACCUUAAUUGAUAAAAAAGGCAAAGAGGGUUACGGGGGCA
rnacentral:rRNA from 1 species